CGGCGGACGGGUGAGUAACGCGUGGGUAACCUGCCUCAUACAGGGGGAUAACAGUUAGAAAUGACUGCUAAUACCGCAUAAGACCACAGCACCGCAUGGUGCGGGGGUAAAAACUCCGGUGGUAUGAGAUGGACCCGCGUCUGAUUAGCUGGUUGGUAAGGUAACGGCUUACCAAGGCGACGAUCAGUAGCCGACCUGAGAGGGUGACCGGCCGCAUUGGGACUGAGACACGGCCCAA
rnacentral:rRNA from 1 species